rnacentral:rRNA from 1 species
GAACAGGAUUAGAUACCCUGGUAGUCCACGCUGUAAACGAUGAUCACUAGCUGUUGGCGAUACAUAGUCAGCGGCAAAGCGAAAGCAUUAAGUGAUCCACCUGGGGAGUACGCCGGCAACGGUGAAACUCAAAGGAAUUGACGGGGGCCCGCACAAGCGGAGGAACAUGUGGUUUAAUUCGAUGAUACGCGAGGAACCUUACCUGGGCUUAAAUAGAGAGUGCAUGAGUGGGAAACCAUUCUUUCCUUCGGGACUCUCUUCAAGGUGCUGCAUGGUUGUCGUCAGCUCUUGCCGUGAGGUGUCGGGUUGAGUCCCAUAACGAGCGCAACCCUUAUCGUUAGUUGCCAUCAGUUCGGCUGGGGACUCUAACGAAACUGCCGGUGUAAACCGUGAGGAAGGUGGGGAUGACGUCAAAUCAGCACGGCCCUUAUGUCCAGGGCUACACACGUGUUACAAUGGUCGAUACAAAGGGCAGCUACCAGGCAACUGGAUGCUAAUCUCAAAAGUCGGUCUUAGUUCGGAUUGGAGUCUGCAACUCGACUUCAUGAAGCUGGAUUCGCUAGUAAUCGCGCAUCAGCCACGGCGCGGUGAAUACGUUCCCGGGCCUUGUACACACCGCCCGUCAAGCCAUGGAAGCUGGGGGUACCUGAAGUACGUAACCGCAAGGAGC